GGGGCUUUGGUUCAGUGGUAGAAUAUUUAUUUUGCAUGCAGAAGAUUCCAAGUUCAAUCCCUGGCAUCUCCA
rnacentral:tRNA from 1 species